GCGAGAGUGGCGGAACUGGCAGACGCGCUGGACUUAGGAUCCAGUGGAUAACACCGUAGGGGUUCAACUCCCCUCUCUCGCACCA
rnacentral:tRNA from 1 species